rnacentral:rRNA from 1 species
GAUGAACGCUGGCGGCGUGCCUAAUACAUGCAAGUCGAGCGAACAGACGAGGAGCUUGCUCCUCUGACGUUAGCGGCGGACGGGUGAGUAACACGUGGAUAACCUACCUAUAAGACUGGGAUAACUUCGGGAAACCGGAGCUAAUACUGGAUAAUAUAUUGAACCGCAUGGUUCAAUAGUGAAAGACGGUUUUGCUGUCACUUAUAGAUGGAUCCGCGCCGCAUUAGCUAGUUGGUAAGGUAACGGCUUACCAAGGCAACGAUGCGUAGCCGACCUGAGAGGGUGAUCGGCCACACUGGAACUGAGACACGGUCCAGACUCCUACGGGAGGCAGCAGUAGGGAAUCUUCCGCAAUGGGCGAAAGCCUGACGGAGCAACGCCGCGUGAGUGAUGAAGGUCUUCGGAUCGUAAAACUCUGUUAUUAGGGAAGAACAAAUGUGUAAGUAACUAUGCACGUCUUGACGGUACCUAAUCAGAAAGCCACGGCUAACUAACGUG